rnacentral:lncRNA from 1 species
GACCAAAUUUUCUUUUGUUCAUCUGUUACUUUUUCCAUCGUGCAUGUAUGUUAACUAAAAAUUGGAACCCAUUUGUCAUAAGUAGAGGAAACUUACGAACAUGAAGCUCAUAAGUAGAAGAUAGAUUUAGUAAAGCCAAGCUUUUUAGCUUAAUACAUUCAGAACAUAUAUGCAUAUGUGCAUUUUAUUUUAGGCUUUUUAUCACAAAUGGUCCUUAACGUUUAAGAUUUUAUCAUGAAUGGUCUUUGAGGUUUUUUUGUGACACUAAUAGUCCUUAACGUUAGGACUUUUUAUCACAAAUGGUCCCUCCGUUAAAAAUUCUGUUAAGUGUCUGAUGUGGAAGACAAGUGGAGCCCAUAUGUCCAAUCACAUUGUGACAUGUGGAUGAAAAAAUAAUUAAAUAAUUUUUUUAAUGAAAAUUCCUUUUUUUUUUCUACAACUUUUCAUCCCCCUUCCUCUACUCCAUCUCUCUCCCCCUCUGCCCUUGCUCUCCAUCCUCAGCCCCCUCUCUCCCCCCCUGUCCUCUCCUUCUCCCUUUGUAAAAAUAAUAAUAUAACCCAUAUAUCUUUCUCCAUCUUUGUAUAGUGGUAUAUAAAUCAUAACCCACAAUCCCCCUUUGUUUUUUUCUUGCCCAUUGCCUGCCACCUGCAAGAAAAAAUGGUCUUUGGGAUUCUUUUAUUGGUCUCUUUUUUUUAACACAGCCACCCACAAGCUGCAACCCACGCCCAACUCCCCUACCCUCUCCCACUGUAUUUUCUCUCCUCCUCUACCCUCCCCCUCUGUUUUUAAUUAUUUUAAGUUGUUUGAAUAAAUAUUUGUGUAAAAGGAAAUGUGAAACUACCUUGUGCAAGUGAUUAUUUUGCAAAAUAUACAGAGGGAGAGGGGUGGGUUGCGGGUGGGUGGGCAUGGGGUGGUCGGGCUGUAGAGGCAAGGAAAAAAAAAACAGAGGGAGAGGGAGAGCACAGGGAGGAGAGAGGGCAGAGGGGAGGGGGAGAGAGACAAAGAGAGUGGAUUUUCAUAAAAUAAAAAAAAUUACUUCUUUAUUUAUUUAAUCCACAUGUCACGAUGUGAUUGGACAUAUGAGCUCCACUUAUUACACUUAACAGAAUUUUUAACGGAGGGACCAUUUGUGAUAAAAAGCACUAACGUUAAGGACUAUUAGUGUCACAUAAAAACCUUAAGGAUCAUUCGUGAUAAAAUUGUAAACGUUAAGGACCAUUUGUGAUAAAAAACCUUUUAUUUUAUAUCACAGUAUUUAUUCUCACACAUAGCUAUAUUCUCAUUCUGAACUUAUUCAUAAAGAUGUGGAGACAAGCGUGGUUUGAUGAGGACAUCAAGAGGGGUGAGUUUCCUGUUCGUAAGUCCAGGGCUUCCAGUCAU